rnacentral:tRNA from 1 species
GAGGGUAUAGCUCAGUGGUAGAGUGUGUGCUUAGCAUGCAUGAGGUUCUGGGUUCAAUCCCCAGUACCUCCA